UACGUAGGGUGCGAGCGUUAAUCGGAAUUACUGGGCGUAAAGGGUGCGCAGGCGGUUUUGUAAGCCAGAUGUGAAAAGCCCCGGGCUUAACCUGGGAAUGGCAUUUGGGACUGCAAGGCUAGAGUGUGGCAGAGGAGACUGGAAUUCCUGGUGUAGCAGUGAAAUGCGUAGAUAUCAGGAGGAAUACCGAUGGCGAAGGCAGGUCUCUGGGCUGACACUGACGCUCAUGCACGAAAGCGUGGGGAGCAAACAGG
rnacentral:rRNA from 1 species